CAUAAAGUUAUGUACAGAUCCACAGUGUAUUCAUGAAUCUCCUUCUUUUGUUACAGUUAAUCAGGCAGCAAAAGAAGACACCGUGGUUUUGAAGAUUGGCUCUGUUGCCAUGGCUCCCCAGGCUGACAAUCCCCUUGGCAGAUCUGUCCUUAGGAAAGAUAUUUACCAGAGAGCCUUGAACUUAGGAAUUCUUCGAGAUCCUGGAUCAGAAAUCGAAGACAGACAAUACCAAAUAGACCUGCAGUCUAUCAAUAUAGGUACUGCACAGUGGGAUCAACUAAAACCAGAGAAGGAAAGUGUCUCAGGAGGGGUGCUAAAAGAGACUGAAAGGAAUUCUCAAAAUCCAGCCCUCGAGUGGAAUAUGGCCAGCAGCAUACGGCGGCAUCAAGAAAGGAGAGCAAUUUUGACUCCCAUUUUGACAGAUUUUUCUGUCCGAAUAACUGGAGCACCGGCUAUCAUUUUCACCAAAAUCAUUUCUCCAGAAAAUCUGCAUACUGAGGAGAUUUUAGUGUGUGGCCAUUCCUUAGAAGUGAAUAUAACAACAAACCUGGACUUCUUCCUAAGUGUGGCUCAAGUUCAACUCUUACAUCAGUUAAUAGUAGCAAAUAUGACUGGACUGGAACCAUCAAACAAGGCUGCGGAGAUCUCUAAACAAGAACAGAAAAAAGUGGAUACAUUUGAUGGAGGCAUGGCUGAAACCUCAUCUCGGUACAGUGGUGCUCAGGAUAGUGGAAUUGGCAGUGACAGUGUUAAAAUCAGAAUAGUGCAAAUAGAGCAGCACAGUGGUGCCAGCCAGCAUCGCAUUGCCCGUCCCUCACGCCAGUCAUCAAUUGUAAAAAAUCUAAAUUUUAUUCCCUUUGACAUAUUUAUCACUGCAAGUAGAAUCUCACUAAUGACCUAUUCCUGUAUGGCCUUAUCCAAAUCGAAAUCACAAGAACAGAAGGAUAAUGAAAAAACAGACAAGAGUUCAUUAAAUCUCCCAGAAGUUGAUUCAGAUGUUGCUAAGCCCAACCAGGCAUGUAUUUCUACGGUGACAGCAGAAGAUCUCUUAAGGAGCAGCAUUUCUUUUCCUUCAGGGAAAAAAAUAGGGGUCCUCUCUCUUGAAAGUAUUCAUGCAUCCACAAGGUCAUCUGCUAGACAAGCACUUGGUAUAACUAUUGUUCGGCAGCCUGGUCGAAGAGGAACUGGUGACUUACAGCUAGAACCUUUUCUGUACUUUAUUGUGUCCCAGCCUUCCUUGCUUGUGAGUUGUCACCACAGAAAGCAGCGAGUGGAAGUAUCCAUUUUUGAUGCUGUGCUUAAAGGGGUGGCCUCUGAUUACAAAUGUACAGGUAAGAACCUUCAAACUUACUGAAGUGCUAAUAAUUACUAUCUAAUAAGUUGUACUCCCAUAGUUUCCAGAUUGAUUAAACAGAAACAGCUGACAGACAAAACUUCUUUUCUCUGCAGAAUAGGUAAAGUUCAUGUUCCACAGCUGAAUCCUGUUUAAAUAUUUGCAAUGUAUUGAGGUUUAGCCUUAGUAUUGUUACUAUGCCUCUGAAUAUCAUUUUUUUUUUUCCAGGAACUGAAUGAAACAGGGAUUCUCUUGACUAUAGAGAUGCUUAACAAUUUCCAGUGUUUGGAAAGCAUAGCUCGGUUUCAUAUUAAUGGCCCAUAGGUAUACUUUCCAUGUUAAUGCUUCUAUUCAGAUUAAAAAAGAAAAGCCUUAGAAGAUGAAGUUUGUUUUUGGUAUUCUUUUGAUGUAAUCAUCUUGAUGCAAUAG
ensembl:lincRNA